rnacentral:lncRNA from 1 species
GCGCGAGAGCAGGAGAGAUUAAGUUUUUGUGUGUGUGUCCCUGUGUGCGUGUGUCAUUUUAAGGUGGCUCGGGAGCGGCCCGGAGGAGCUGGCGGCGGCCCGAGGAGCGAGGGACCGAGCCGGGAGCCAUGCUGCGCUGAGGGGGGGCCGCACCGCCGCCGCCACCGCCACCGCCACCGCCGCCGGGUGGGGUGGGAGGGGCGGGAGCCGCUGCCGCCGCCGCCGCCGCCGCCUCCCGGGUGGGCGCCCUUCGCCGUGGACGCCGGCGGCCCGGGACGAGGGUUUCAUCGCCUUAAAUGGUUUUGAACCAAUGAAGCUAUAUUCCCUUAAAAAGACGGACAGCACUUCGUGUGAACUAUAGAGUUUGUGGACAGAUAAAUAUUGGGUUCAUAGUGGCGUAAUGCGCGCAGACUCCUGCGAGUUCCCCUAAGUUCUUAGAGGACUGCUUUGCCUUUUGAAUCAGAGAGUUGCAAAGUUCGAUAAAGAAUGGCCCUUGUGGAUAAGCACAAAGUCAAGCGACAGCGAUUGGACAGAAUUUGUGAAGGUAAGAGCCAGCGUGAUUGGCGGUUUUUAAUGAAAGCUGUGUAGUCCCGCCCUCCACCCUAAACAGUCCCUGCGAGGCUUCUGCCACGCCCUCCCUCCAGCGCCCGUCACCGUCACCGUAUGACGCCCUCCACGGUGCCCCGUGCUUCUGGGGUCCGAAGGCCUUGUCCUCCCAGGGGACCAGGCUUCGGGGUGGGCCAGGAGGAGAGUGGAGAAGGGAAUAAGUGCUGAGACCCACUGCUGCCACACACACCUGAGAUGAUUUUGCAUAUUAAAGGCAUUCUUAUUACGACCAUCUUGUUUCUCUUCCUGAAGCUUCCGGACUUUAUCUGCUUCGAAUUAUGAUAUUUACAACAAUGAAUUCUGAGACAUUCCUGAAGAGCCCAGCAUUACCCCUUGUGAUGUGUACAGGUCCCUGGUAUCUUUGAAAAUGUCUGGAAGUGUUUUAUUCAUGAAAGGAAAGAUAAACAUAAUUAAAAUCUAAUGGAAACCUGGGGCCA